CCUACGGGAGGCAGCAGUGGGGAAUUUUGGACAAUGGACGCAAGUCUGAUCCAGCCAUUCCGCGUGCAGGACGAAGGCCUUCGGGUUGUAAACUGCUUUUGUACGGAACGAAAAAGCCUUGGUUAAUACCCAGGGUCCAUGACGGUACCGUAAGAAUAAGCACCGGCUAACUACGUGCCAGCAGCCGCGGUAAUACGUAGGGUGCAAGCGUUAAUCGGAAUUACUGGGCGUAAAGCGUGCGCAGGCGGUUAUAUAAGACAGAUGUGAAAUCCCCGAGCUU
rnacentral:rRNA from 1 species